AAGUCGUAACAAGGUUUCCGUAGGUGAACCUGCGGAAGGAUCAUUAACACGUAUCCACGUAUAAAAAACCCCCUGUGGCUGAUUGGAGUUGUGCUCACUCGAUCUUAAUUCGGACUCGGGAUCUAUGAGUGGACGCAGCGUUCAUUAUUAUUAUUAACCCCUUUGUACUUUUUUGUACUGCCAAUUCUUCGAGUUUCGGCCUUCUCGGGCUGAGAUACGAGAUAUUGCGAAACUAAAGAACAACUCUUAGCAACGGAUAUCUUGGUUCUC
rnacentral:misc_RNA from 1 species